rnacentral:lncRNA from 1 species
GGACUAUUGGCACGGAACUCUGGAACUCCCGUGUUGUUCGACGGGUCACAAAGAGGAUCAUAGAGAUGGGAGUAAAGAGUAGACUCUAUCAUGUCUUCGACUAGGUUGCUGCAGUGCGUCUUCCGCACUUACGCGAAGCGGUCACGUGAGAAAACCUCCCGCCAAGCUCUGGGCGGGGCAGAUAGAGGCGGAGGGGUGGAGUGGAGCAGAAGGAGAAGGCGGGUUGGGGAGGGAAAGUGUGUCCUCUGGGUGGGUGUUCCUCUCAAAACUGAGACUGUAGGAGUUAUCAUACUUAGUAUUUCUACAGCUUUAUAGCCAUAGAGCACUGAGACAUUAAGUUUUAUUUAUGGUAAACUGUUAUCUGGGUGACAUCACCCACACAAAGCUGUUACAAGGAAAGCAAAUGUAGUGUUUUGGAGACAGGGACAAGUUUUAUAGCAAUUCUGUGACUAAAUUCUUUCCGAAGCAUCGUUAAUUUCAGAAACAAACGGGAGGAAAACUGGGGGUGGGGAUGUUGUGACAGUCUUCAGACUUGUGUUACAAAGGGACUAUCUGAAACACCAAGGUCUUAACAAGGUGAUUGCUUCUGAAGUUGAACCCCAUUUCUCUUUUUAUCGUCAAACUUGGAGCUUGUUCUUCCGGCAAGCUUAGCCUUCGGGUGUGUAUGUGUGUUUUGUGAAAUCAGUUUCAUGUUUGAAAAUUCAAAAAGUAUUCGUUGUGAAAAAAGUGCACAUCCUCUGCAGCAGUGUUAACAGUUUAGCAUGAUCUUCCAGAGGUAUUCUAUGAACACAAAGGCAAAUGUGCAUAUUUUAAAUGAAUUUCCCUUUUUACACAGACGGUGUGUAAGCUGUAUCUUUAACCUAAUAAAUUGGAUAUCUGUCUAUAUCUGUAACCCCCCCUCCAAGAAAAGAAAACAAGCUUGUCUCAUUUUUCUUUUACACAGCUGCAUCAUUUACUUAGAGUCUCGAAAAAUUUGGUAUUGAAGUUAUUUCCAGUCUUGCUGUUGUUGGGGUUUAAAUAAAAAUGAUACCUUAAAAUCUGG